CUUGGGGCAAUCUUGUCCAGGUCAUCUGACGUUUCGAGCCCGUUACAGCAUCUUCCCAUUGUAAUGCAAAGAUACACUGGCUUUCUGUAGCAAUUCGUAGGCAAAAGAAGGCAUCUUUAAGGUCCAAGACUAUAAAGUAAGUAGCCCCACCUGGAAUCAAGGCAAGCAGGUUAUAAGGAUUGGGCACAACUGGAUGUAUACUUACUACCGCAUCAUUGACUGCUCUCAAAUCCUGCACAGGACGAUACUCAUCUGACCCAGGCUUCUGA